rnacentral:rRNA from 1 species
UGGGGAAUAUUGGACAAUGGGCGAAAGCCUGAUCCAGCCAUGCCGCGUGUGUGAAGAAGGUCUUCGGAUUGUAAAGCACUUUAAGUUGGGAGGAAGGGCAUUAACCUAAUACGUUAGUGUUUUGACGUUACCGACAGAAUAAGCACCGGCUAACUCUGUGCCAGCAGCAGCGGUAAUACAGAGGGUGCAAGCGUUAAUCGGAAUUACUGGGCGUAAAGCGCGCGUAGGUGGUAUGUUAAGUUGGAUGUGAAAUCCCCGGGCUCAACCUGGGAACUACAUUCAAAACUGACUGACUAGAGUAUGGUAGAGGGUGGUGGAAUUUCCUGUGUAGCGGUGAAAUGCGUAGAUAUAGGAAGGAACACCAGUGGCGAAGGCGACCACCUGGACUAAUACUGACACUGAGGUGCGAAAGCGUGGGGAGCAAACA